GUGGAUUAGGCAUGCAAGUCGAACGGUAGUAUAUCCUUCGGGAUAUAUGAGAGUGGCGAACGGGUGAGUAACGCGUAGGUGAUCUACCUUCAAGUGGGGGACAACCCAGGGAAACUUGGGCUAAUACCGCAUGUGGCUGUAAAGCUAAAGCCGGCCUCUGAAUAUGCUGGUGCUUGGAGAUGAGCCUGCGUCUGAUUAGCUAGUUGGUGGGGUAAUGGCCUACCGAGGCGAUGAUAAGUAGGCGGCUUUAACGAGUGGUCGCCCACACUGGGAUUGAGAUACGGCCCAGACUCCUACGGGAGGCAGCAGUCGAGAAUAGUCUACAAUGGUCGAAAGAUUGAUAGUGCGACGCCGCGUGAACGAAGAAGCAUUUCGGUGUGUAAAGUUCUUUUCUAUGGGAGCAGUGCUUUUUAUGUUAACAGCAUGAAGAGAGAGAUAUUACUAUAGGAAUAAGCCACGGCUAACUCCGUGCCAGCAGCCGCGGUAAUACGGGGGUGGCAAGCGUUGUCCGGAAUUACUAGGCGUAAAGGGCAGGUAGGCGGUUAUGUAAGUUAAAUGUUAAAGGCCCAUGCUUACCAUGGGUAAGGCGUUUGAUACUGUAUAACUGGAAGACGGUGGAGGAAGACGGAAUUCCUGGUGUAGCGGUGGAAUGCGCAGAUAUCAGGAGGAACACCGAAGGCGAAGGCAGUCUUCUACGCCGGUUUUGACGCUAAACUGCGAAGGUGCGGGUAUCAAACAGGAUUAGAUACCCUGGUAGUCCGCACAGUAAACGAUAAUCACUAGGUGUCGGUAGGAUAGACCUGUCGGUGCCGUAGCUGACGCGAUAAGUGAUUCGCCUGGGGAGUACGAUCGCAAGGUUGAAACUCAAAUGAAUUGACGG
rnacentral:rRNA from 1 species